rnacentral:piRNA from 1 species
UGCAAUGGUGAACCGUGUAGGCAAAGACCCCU